CAGAAUGUGAUGGACAGGAUCUACAGUGUGAUUCGUGAGCUGGCAGGAGAGAGCAAGACGGUGAAGAUGGCAGACGUGCUGGAGCGCUGCGCCAGCAAGGGCUACACACCUGACCAAGUGGAGGAGUGUCUGGAGGAGUAUGAGGAGCUGAAUGUGUGGCUCAUCAAUCAGGCUCGUACCAAGAUCACCUUUGUGUAACUGGGGCAUUGGGUUGACUGCUCAGCAGAUAUGGAAAAUGUUCUACCAGGGCUGCUUGAAGGUGUACCUCCAGCUGUGAGGCAGAAGAAUUUGUGGUUUCAGCAUGGCGGAACUGCAGUGCACUAUGGGGAAGGUGUCCACCAGUAGCAGAACAUGACUGACAUACCCAAGAAAGUGGAUUGGAUGCCAGUGUUUUAUGGUGGGGACAUCUGAAGGAGCAUGGUCAUGCAGUCCAUCUCAGACUUUCAAAGAUGUUGCAAGACUUCAGGUGGCUGUGACAUCAGUUACUGUCAAGAAGUGUUUGACAGAGUGCUAGGAUGCCACUUUGAACACCUGUUGUAGCUAUGAGGUGUCAGUGGUUUAAUCAUAUGAUAGCUUGUGCCAUUUGACAGUGACAUAUAUCUUGAAAAAAAGGUGCAGAGCAUAUGUUGUGUUCUAUAUUCUAUUAGUGUAUUUUAACAAGAAGUCACUGUGGAGAGUUUGUGUGUGAAUUUCUUUCCCCCCCCCCUGUAUAUAACUUCUGCAGAUGAUGCAACAUUGAUGUUCUGAACAUCAUGUCAUAAUGGUCAGCACUUCUGCUUCAUAUUCAAGAGGUCAUUGCAGAAAGCAGCUGUCGUGACAGCUUUAUAUUGCUUACCUUCCCCAUCCUUUCCAGUUCGUCAUUUUAUAUUAUGUAAUUAUAAAUAAUGCAGGAAUUGGAAAGAAGUAAUUUGCUCUUGUUGUUAUCAUGUCUGCCUUUCUAAAUAUUAUGACUGGUUUGUCUUACAGAUGUUACAAAGCAGCCAUCUGCCCUUUUAGAGAUCUUCCCAACUUGCUGCUUUCUCUGGAUUGAUAUAUUAUAAUUUUGUUCUUUCAGUAUGUUGUUUCCAUUUUACGAGUAUUCUGCGUGAAGGCAUUUUACUUGAAGUUUGUAACGCUUCUUUCACCUAACACUACAAAGAUCACUGAGUUCAACUGUUUAAAGUGUUCAUCUCUUGCUGUCUCCUCCUUGCAUUUUCUUUCAUCUCCACCCUGUUGCAGGCAUGAAGAGUCUUUGUAUUCCAAUGUUGUUCUUAAGACAUCUCUCCCUGUUCCUCUGCCUCAGUUACAUUUAACAUAACAUGUUCAGUGACUGUUUUAAGCUUCUGUUCAUCUCAGGACCAGUGUUCCAUGAUUAAUAUUCAGUGUCAUUGUCAUGAUAAACUUCAUCUGUUUCUCUGUUUUGUAGUCAUGUGACUUUGACAUCUGUGGUUUAUUGCUGAUACUUUUUUGGAAAUGUACAUUUUUACUGGAGUGCCAGAAGCCAGGCUGUUGGCAUGUCCUCACAUUUUCCUGAGUGAUGUCUAAGAGUGUCAAGAUUUUGUGUUCAAAAGUUGGAGGGUCCGCUAUGGGAUAUUUGCAUUCUGUUUUGAUUCUUCAUGUUUACAGAAGUGUACGUCCUGCUACCGAGCUAGUGAACAUUUUUGGUUUGUCACCAUCAUCAUCAAUGAUGUUCUCCACGGUUAAAUAAGUGAACCUGUCUUAGAGGUUGGGUGAUGGUGACAGCAUUGUGAAUGUCAUUCCAGUUGGCUGCAGAUGUUACAACAGGCAAACUCAAGUUAUGCGUCAUAACUGAUGAAUACACAUAAGAAUAUUAUUUGAAAAUUAGAAAUACGUAAUACAGGAAACUCCUCAGCUUCCACCAAUUGUGCAUCACAUUACUGGAGCAAGAUGCCCCAAUGGCCUAGUUUUACAUUCUUUUGUACCACCAUUCUGCAAAAUGAAAGUAUGGCUGCCAGUCCCUAUUCCUGGAUGGUAGAGAUUAAGGAGGUGACAUUAGUCUAAUAUGUAGAGACUGAAGUAAUUUUGUGUGGAAAGUUAUCAAGAUCGAUGUGUUCUUUCAUAGGAUAAUUUUUAAAAGUUUGGGGGUACAUCUCUGGGUCUGAAAUGAAAACAGAAAAACGACAUUUAUAAAAAAAUUAACUGUUAAUAUUUUUGUUUAUUGAUAUAUAUUGCCUUGGUUACAGUUUGCCUGUUUGUUACAUUAUUUUGUUUUAUGUACAAGAGCCAUGGCAUCCCAUUCUCUCUGCAGUAAACAGUAACAGUGGUGUAAAAUUUGGAUGUGUUGUGUGAAGAAAUAGAGUACAGUGGUAAAUUCA